rnacentral:rRNA from 1 species
CUACGGGAGGCAGCAGUGAGGAAUAUUGGGCAAUGGGGGAAACCCUGACCCAGCAAUGCCGCGUGCGGGAAGACGCCUUUCGGGGUGUAAACCGCUUUUCUGCAUGAAGAGGAAGGACGGUAGUGCAGGAAUAAGUCACGGCUAACUACGUGCCAGCAGCCGCGGUAAUACGUAGGUGGCGAACGUUAUCCGGAGUUACUGGGCGUAAAGCGCGCGCAGGUGGACUGUUAAGUUAGCCAUGAAAGCUCCCGGCUAAACUGGGAGAGGCUGGUUGAUACUGGCAGUCUUGAGUGAGUGAGAGGGAAGUGGAAUUCCGCGUGUAGUGGUGAAAUGCGUAGAGAUGCGGAGGAACACCAGAGGCGAAGGCGGCUUCCUGGCACUUGACUGACACUGAGGCGCGAAAGCAUGGGUAGCGAACGGGAUUAGAUACCCCUGUAGUCC